GGUGGAUUAGUGGCGAACGGGUGAGUAACACGUGAGUAACCUGCCCCUGACUCUGGGAUAAGCGUUGGAAACGACGUCUAAUACUGGAUAUGAUCACUGGCCGCAUGGUCUGGUGGUGGAAAGAUUUUUGGUUGGGGAUGGACUCGCGGCCUAUCAGCUUGUUGGUGAGGUAAUGGCUCACCAAGGCGACGACGGGUAGCCGGCCUGAGAGGGUGACCGGCCACACUGGGACUGAGACACGGCCCAG
rnacentral:rRNA from 1 species